rnacentral:rRNA from 1 species
GACGAACGCUGGCGGCGUGCUUAACACAUGCAAGUCGAACGGAAAGGCCCUGCUUUUGUUGGGUGCUCGAGUGGCGCACGGGUGAGUAACACGUGAGUAACCUCCCCUUGACUUUGGGAUAACUUCAGGAAACUGGGGCUAUUACCGGAUAGGAGCUCCUGCUGCAUGGUGGGGGUUGGAAAGUUUCGGCGGUUGGGGAUGGAAUCGCGGCUUAUCCGCUUGUUGGUGAGGUAGUGGCGUACCAAGGCUUUGACGGGUAGCCGGCCUGAGAGGGUGACCGGCCACAUUGGGACUGAGAUACGGCCCAGACGCCUACGGGAGGCAGCAGUGGAGAAUAUUGCACAAUGGGCGGAAGCCUGAUGCAGCAACGCCGCGUGCGGGAUGACGGCCUUCGGGUGGUAAACCGCUUUCGCCGGUGACGAAGCGUGAGUGACGGUAAUGGGUAAAGAAGCACCGGCUAACUACGUG